AGAGAGAGAGAAGAGACAGAGAGAGAGAGACAGAGACAGAGAGAGAAGAGACAGAGAGAGAGAGGGACAGAGAGAGAGAGGGAGAGAGAGAAGAGAGAAGAGAGAGAGAGAGAGAGAGAGAGAGAGAAGAGAGAAGAGAGAGACUAACGAUGAGCCCGAAAUGACACCAUAUUCCCUCCAUCUUUGACCAGAGCCCUAUGGGGCCGCAUGGUCAAAGGUAGUGCACUAUGUAGGGAAUAACGUGCCAUUUAGGACAGAGAAAGUGAAGGGGACACAUGCAACUUCUCUCCCCAAUAAAAUACGUUCAUGACGGUUUUAUACAGCAUUAGCUGGGGCUGAAAUCAUGGAAAGAUACAGUAGAGCUGAGAGGAAGACAUCCAUCAUCUAGAGGUUAAAGAUAAUGUAGAGCUGAGAGGAGAACAUCCAUUAUCUAGAGGUUAAAGAUAAUGUAGAGCUGAGAGGAGAACAUCUAUCAUCUAGAGGUUAAAGAUAAUGUAGAGCUGAGAGGAAAACAUCCAUCAUCUAGAGGUUAAAGAUAAUGUAGCGCUGAGAGGAGAACAUCUAUCUUUUAGAGGUUAAAGAUAAUGUAGAGCUGAGAGGACAUCCAUCAUCUAGAGGUUAAAGAUAAUGUAGAGCUGAGAUGAAAACAUCCAUCAUCUAGAGGUUAAAGAUAAUGUAGCGCUGAGAGGAGGACAUCCAUUAUCUAGAGGUUAAAGAUAAUGUAGGGCUGAGAGGAAAACAUCCAUCAUCUAGAGGUUAAAGAUAAUGUAGAGCUGAGAUGAAAACAUCUGUCAUCUAGAGGUUAAAGAUAAUGUAGCGCUCAGAGGAGAACAUCUAUCUUCUACAGGUUAAAGAUAAUGUAGGGCUGAGAGGAGAACAUCCAUUAUCUAGAAGAAAUGAAGUAUUUGAUUUGCUCUACUCUAAUGAAGAGCAACAGAGAGAGAGGAGAAGAUCCUCCCCAGCAGGUGGCUAGGCUAAAGGGACGUCAUACCACUACAAUAGAGGCCCGGGGCAUUUGGGAUGCAGAGCCUCUGCUGACAUCACCCUGACCAAAGAUAGACCUCACUGCUUCAGUGGAAGGCCGUCAGAAUAUAAACUUUCUAGACCCUACAUGGGAUUCUGUCCACCUGACCUUUAACCUUUAACUAGAGUUGUUAAUUUCCAUGAACUUUAAUCAAAUUCUCCAGGCGCCCUGGUCAAAAGUAGUGCACUAUGUAGGGAAUCGG
ensembl:lncRNA